UACGAAGGGGGCGAGCGUUGUCCGGAAUUAUUGGGCGUAAAGAGCUCGUAGGCGGUGUGUCGCGUCGGCCGUGAAAACCUGCAGCUUAACUGUGGGCGUGCGGUCGAUACGGGCAUCACUGGAGUUCGGGCAGGGGAGACUGGAAUUCCUGGUGAUAGCGGUGAAAUGCGCAGAUAUCAGGAGGAACCACCGGUGGCGAAGGCGGGUCUCUGGGCCGAAUACUGACGCUGGAGGAGCGAAAAGUGUGG
rnacentral:rRNA from 1 species